CUCGUACUAAAAUUCUAAAAAUAUUGUUUUUCAUUUUGCAAAGAUGUAUUUUGAUAUUUUACAAUAUAUUUCUGCGAUGUAUUUCGCUAUUUAACUGGAAAAAAUCGUGCAGUUUCAUGAAUUAGUGGCUGUCAACCGUGAAACAAAGUGUGAAAGGCAUGCAUAAAGUUAUAAACUGAUAAACACGAAUUUUGUCGAAGACGAACCAGAUCGAUGUUUUUAAUAUAAAAUUGAAUCGUUAUCUUGACUCUUGGCUAUCUUGGGUAAGUGUUAUAAACAUUUCAGUAUAAAAAUUUCAUACCGUAC